rnacentral:rRNA from 1 species
AUGAAUUUGAUGAUUUUUCUUGAAAUUUGCAUCUUGCGGAUUCCACCAUUAAGAAACCUAUGGGAAGGAUUAAUUAUGUUCUUAUUGUUGCAAAUAGGAAUUAUGUGCCCGUAG